rnacentral:lncRNA from 1 species
UCAAAAUGAAAAAAAAAACACCCAAACUAAACAAGCGGCUAAAACCAUAGCUAAAAUCACGUAUACUAUUUUCUCCCUCCCUCCCUCCCACGAUAAAACCAGAGCUCAGAGCUCAUCGGAAGGUCAGAGCGAAGCAGAGGCAAACGGAUCAGAAGGUAAUACCCAUAACUUUAUUGGGUUUGUAAAAAAAAUUUCAGGCAUUUGAAAAUCUAGGGUUUGUUUUUUAAAAAUCCCUCUUUUUCCGGCGGGGUUCGUCGUGGCUGCUGGUUGCACGAAUUUCUUUACUUUCUCGUGGCCUAAUUUCUUUAAUCGUUGCCUAAUUCGUACAAACUCAAAAUCUGUUUUCAUUUUUGUGGUUCCUUAAAAUUCUCCCUUGAAUGAAGUGGUAUAGCCUAUGAUGUGCAGCGUAAGUUUAUACUCAAGGUACAAUCUGCAAAAGUUUCCGUGUGGUUAUUAUAUGUUUAUAACCUAUUUUGAUUCACUAACCAUGAAUGUAUUUAUUAUAUAUCUAUAUUAGAUACACACACGCUUCUGAUUGAAUUAUUCCUUUCAUUAUCAUCAAAAGAAGCAUUGGUACUAUUUAUCUCGUUGGUUUCAUUUGUAUCUUCCUUCAAUAAUGUUUCCUCUAAUUCUGGGUUGAUGUAGGGUGAUUUAUUAUUUACUCUUUAGACAUGGACCUGAUUGAAUUAUUCCUUUCAUAUUAUUAACUUAUUGACUGCAAAAUCAAUUAGAAUUGUUUUGUCGUGCAAUUUGAAAAUUCCAGAAUCUGUGCUUCAUGUAUCUAAAUUCUGAGAUCUAAUUGUUGUUGUUCGUGCUUAAAUGUUGUUUGUUUUUUUACCGUAGGGAUGGAUGCUAAUUUAGAGGAUGAAGCACGGGGUAGUGACGAAUGUGGUGAUAAUGUUGACAAUAGUGAAAUGGAAGUAGAGAAUAAGAGAAUUGAAGGGAGAGAACUCGCCGGAUUUGGUACGAAAUCGGAUAACCUUUCUAACGCGAACUGAGAAAUCAAUGGAGAGCCAGUGAGAGAGAGAGGAGAGUUAGAGAGAGUCUGAGGUGGGAAAAGGGUUUUUUUAUGUCUAUUAUAGAUAACCCAUAUUUCACUACCCGCUCCAGCCAUAUCAGUCAUCCGCGUGUUUUUUUUAAAGUUCGCUGCUGGUUCGUUUUUCUGAGUUCGCUUUAGAAAGAUUUCCUAUAUAUAUAUAUAUAUAUAUAUAUAUAUAUAUAUAGAAAUGAUUUAUAGUAUGUAUUUGCUAUGAAUGAAAAAUAGGCAAAUAAUAUCAUAACUAUACAUUACAUAAAUUAAGGGUUGAGAUUAAAAAGGAAAACACGCCAUCCACUAGCGGACGCAUAAAAUAGAAAUUUCGGACCACAAUCUUCGGAUUUCGAAAUUUCUUACUUGCUGUGCGAUUUUGAUCUGAUGAGAGAACUAGUUCGCAAAGGUUCUGCAAAAAGACCACUGAAAAAUAAAAUCCUGCAAGAUUUUUUGAGUGACUAAUUUCUCCAUUUCUGUCUUUGAUUAUCUUUUAAAUUCUUAGUUGCAAUUUGCAAAAUUAUUCUUUAUUUUAUUCUUUUGAUGAAUUUCAACUCUCAACUAUUUUCAGUCCAGAUCAAAAACCAUAAACAGAAAACCAAACACAAAAAUUAAUCCAAAAAUGACAUCAUUAGCAACCCGUUUAGCUUCAUUCCUCUUCUUCUUCCCGAUUGGUAUUAGACGUCUUCUCUCCUCUUAUCAUUAGCAUGAAUGAAAUUAACUUUGAUCAAUUGAGGAAAAAAUAUUAGGGGGUUAUCUUUCCUAGCUCUUUUCAUCUUCUUUUUAAUACUAUAUAUAUAUAUAUAUAUAUAUAUAUAUAUAUAUAUAUAUAGUCCUAAAAUUAAUAUAAUUUCGUUCAAGUUUUAGAAACAACAAAUAUUAUAAUUAGUAGUUUAAAACUAAAAACUUCAAAUAAAUUUUGAAAUUUUAGAAUUUUACGAAUUGAUUCAAAAAAAUUAAAAUAUAUAUCUAAUUUUAGAACAGAGGGAUGGAACAAGUAAAUUAGAACUUGCAAGCAUAGUAUCAAGGGGAGAGAUUAGAGUACACCUCUCAAACGGGCUAGGCUGAGCCAAAACGGCCUGAGUUUUGGCGGGUCGAAAAAUGUAAGCCCAAAGCUUGUGGGUUCACGAGCGGGCCGGGCCGGCUCGUGGAUCGAGGGGUGUUUUAUGCCUAUUUUUUGGGCUUAAAGUGCACGGACCGGGCUUUUAACGGGUCAGGUCAAAAAAUACGAUCCAAAGCCCGUUUUUUAACGGGCGAGCUUAACCGGUCCGCGGGCUUUAGACCCGUUUGUCAGAUCUAGAUAAGAGAGAACUAGAAAUACUAAUCAGUCAAUAUAUAUCUUGCGACUUUGUAUGUCAACUUUUUAGAUGCAAACACUGCUUGAAUAUUUAUAGUUUAUAAUAUUUUAAUGAUUUAUUUAAUACUUAUCCAAUCUAAUAUAUUGAUAUACGUCAUAAUCAUAAUUCAUUAAAAAAUUCUUGCAAUACAUAACAUGACUCUUUCUUAAUUAAUAGUACCAAGAAAAAACACAUUUAUGUAUGAGAGAGAAAAAGUUAUAUAGGUCUUUUAUUUAUUUUUUGGGCUUUUGAAAAAGUCUUCUCGGUAGAGGAUUUGUUUUUGUCGAUAACGACGGGAAAAAGUAUUGUUUAAUUAAUACUUAAUUUUUAUUGUUCUUAUGAAAUUGUAAUUAUUAAUUAAUGAAAUGAAAUUCUUGGAAAAUAACGACACAUCCUAGUAAUUAAAAACAAAAACAAAAAGACGUCCUAGGAUAUGGAGUAAUUUUUCUAGUUUCCCCUAGAAAACAUCAUGUAUAACAAUAGACUAGCCUAAACAUUCCCUAGUUUAAUUAUAUUGGCAUCAAUAUUGCAGAUCUAUCUGUAACGCAUUUACAAUAAAUUGAUAAUUAAAACAUGAGACAGGUAAAUUUGAUUCUCUCUCACAUGAAAUGAAGUGGAUCUCACUUAAUAUUCAUCAAAAAUAGUUUGUGUAAUUAUCAAAUUUACUCGUGGAAAUAUCAAUUCUCAGAAACAUUCACCAACUUACGCAUAUACAAGAGUCUAUGGAAAGCUAAAUCAAUUGACUAAUACGAUCACCUUCUGGCAUGCGUGUCGACACUGUAUUAAUCAAAGUUAACUUAAUUUAUGAGCAUGCGUGUCAACACUGUAUUGAUUAAAGUUAACUUCAUUCAUGCUGACUACUCCUCUAUUUCUCAUUCAUUCAUGUAUAUAUGCAGAAUUGAAGAAGAAGAAAAACUCAGUAUUCUCAUGAGUACUCAUCUAGCAACAACGAACAAACACACCCUGAAUGAAUUAAGCCAUCAUUGAU